AAAAUUGCGUCAGCAAGCUCCUCAACUUCAGCUUCUUGACCUGAAAGGAACAGGAAAAAUGACAUUAAGGUCUGUAGGAAAUCACCAAAACAGACUAACAAGUGAAACAAGUCUGCUCUACAAUACGAAAAUGAUAUUGUCAUCUUCGUGGAGAGUGAUGACAGUAACACUCUGCAUCUCAAUUCCUUGAUGUUGUUUUGAGGGGAUGUAAGGCAUGAAGACAAGAGUUAGGUUGUGGAUUUUGGUGUUAAAAUGUAAAGCUGGGCACCUUAUCUCUGACAUAUCUGGGUACGCCCAUUGAUGAACACAGAUUACCUAAUGCUCAGCUUAUGCAUUUGGUUCAGAAAAUCAGUAAGAGGAUAGGUCCAUGGCAGGGGAGUCACCUAUCCUCCUGGGGGAAGACUUAUUCUUUCCCAUGCAUGUCUGGCAAAUAUGCCUCGGUACCAGAUGGGUUUCACACCAAUUGGCAACUUUUGUUCCAUAUCUUAGAUACAGGUUUCAAUUCCAAGCUGUAGUAACUAUGAUAGGUUAAGACCUCACAUUACAUGGAUCUUAGGUGCUAACAUGUUUUUUUUUAAUUAUUGCAGCUUCUCUACAUGAAGUACAGUUGCUGGUUAACCUUCUUGGUAUAUGGAAAGAAUCUGAGUACUCUGGCCACUCUAUUCCUGUUGGUGAUCUUGCUUACAUUUAACUGCACCAUCAAGCAUGUGCUCUCUUCUCAAAGAUACGGACUGAAGUUUCUGCUUCAACGGCCAGCAUGUUGCUAAGCAGCUGAAGUGGAAGAACGAAGGAUGGAGCCAGAAGAAAUGCCGAACCCACAAGUACAACCAGCAGAUAUGUUUGAUUAGUACUUCCCAUUUCUGUUUAUUUUUUAGCAGUUCUAUGAUUUUUCUAAGACUGUUCUUGUGAUUCAUGUCCAGAAUAUCUGAGACUGGAACACCCAAGUGUGAGCGAAUGCGCUAGCUCAUGGCAGCACGAGAUCGAGAUUCAGAGGUAGUAGAAACAAGAGCUACUAAAGAAAAACAAAAGGGAUCGGGAAA